rnacentral:rRNA from 1 species
CCUAUUGAGUAUAAUUUUAGGUCUGACCUGCCCAAUGAAAAGUUUAAUGGCCGCGGUAUCUUGACCGUGCAAAGGUAGCAUAAUCAUUAGUUUUUUAAUUGAAAGCUUGUAUGAAGGGUUUGAUGAAAAAAUGGCUGUCUCUGUUUAAAUUUUAUAGAAAUUUAUUUUUAAGUAAAAAAGCUUAAAUUUUAGUAGAAGACGAGAAGACCCUAUAGAGUUUAAUACUGACAAUUUUAAGUUAAGAUUAAGAAUUUAGAGUCUUAUUAUAACAGGUAUUUAGUUGGGGUGAUUAAAAAAUUAAAAAAACUUUUUUUUAAUAUAAACAUUUAUUUAUGAAUUUUUGAUCCUUUUUUAAGAUUAUAAGAUAAAAUUACCUUAGGGAUAACAGCGUAAUUUUUUUUUAGAGUUCUAAUCGAAAAAAAAGAUUGCGACCUCGAUGUUGGAUUAAAAAAAAUUAUUGGUGUAGAAGCUAAUAAAUUAGGUCUGUUCGACCUUUGAAAUUUUACAUGAUCUGAGUUUAA